rfam:Camelus ferus unplaced genomic scaffold scaffold993, whole genome shotgun sequence.
GAGGGUAUAGCUCAAGUGGUAGAGUGCAUGCUUAGCAUGCACAAGGUCCAGGGUUCAAUUCCCAGUACAUCCU